CAUAACGACUCUCGGCAACGGAUAUCUCGGCUCUCGCAUCGAUGAAGAACGUAGCAAAAUGCGAUACGUGGUGUGAAUUGCAGGAUCCCGUGAACCAUCGAGUUUUUGAACGCAAGUUGCGCCCGAAGCCUUUAGGCCGAGGGCACGUCUUCCUGGGCGUCACGC
rnacentral:rRNA from 1 species